GCCUGGAUAACUCAGUUGGUUAAAGCGUGGUGCUGAUAACGCUAAGGUUGCAGGUUCGAGCCCUGUAUGGGGCA